GCUCUCAUCAUCUCUGAAGAGGAACCAGGACGUAAGUUUUUGAGCAGUGAUUAAUUUGUUUUCAUCAACAUGAUGUAGAACUGCUUUUCGAUGCGUCUCUGCCAGCACACCUGAAUCAGUGAUUGGGCCCUAAGCAGGAAUCUGUAGAACCCGACUACAAACCGAUGAAGUAAUUCAGCCAGUUGUUUCAGGUGUGUUGGACCAGGGACACAUCUGACAGCUGCAGGACAUCAGUCCUGAUUCUGAGGAUCUGGGCCAAAGUUUGUGUAGCUGAUCAUUUCUUUAAAACCAAAUCCCACACAGUGACCACUUUUCUUAUAUUUUAGUGAAUUGAUCCAGUUUAGCAAAACUCAACACCCUGCAGAACCUGAUCUACAGACAGCAGAGAACGUUCAACAAAGGAAUCUGUCAAACUAUUGGAAAUCAAACAUUUUGAGAUCAUCUGGAUCUGCAAAUUGUUGCCAACACCAGACCAAGGCAGAUUGACACUGAAGAAGAACCAACACUGACAAUCAGGAUGUGCCUGUUAUUGACCACACCUCUCUUCAUUGCUGUGGUUGUAAUACUUCUGUUACUCUGGCAGAACAUCAUCACUGUGACAGACUUAAUCAAAGGAGGAAAGCAAGUUUCAGAUGUAGUAAUCCCAGCUUUGGAUGAUCCAAAGAUAUCAGGAGCAUUAACACUAACCGUCACUGCAGUGUUCAUUUUGACAAACUCACUGGAAACGACUCUGUUGGUUCUGGUUGAUAUCGCCCUGUGGUUGCAUUGGCUCAAUAUCCUCCCACUGAGAGAGUUAAUUAGGUUAGCUACAGAGUUUUAUC